rnacentral:tRNA from 1 species
GGGCGUUUGGCGCAGUUGGCAGCGCGCAUGCUUAGCAAUAGCUAAUGAGCUAAUAUGCAUGAGGUCAUGGGUUCAAUUCCCAUAAUGUCCA